rnacentral:lncRNA from 1 species
CUUGUAAGGAAAACCCAAUGGAGUUAUACUUCAAUCAAGGAUUUGAGGAAUCCCUUGAUUGAGACGAUUUGCUGAUCCAUGUCCAUAUUAGAUAUGUGCAUGGUAAAUCACAUUCCUUCCUUCUUGACAGAUAUGAUUCGAUUAUGUGCUUGGCUGAAGGAUUUAUCUUGACUCUUUGGCUUGAUCUGAUUUCCUUUCUUCUCUUGAUGGCUUG